rnacentral:rRNA from 1 species
AUUGAACGCUGGCGGCAGGCCUAACACAUGCAAGUCGAGCGAGCGGCGGACGGGUGAGUAAUGUCUGGGGAACUGCCCGAUGGAGGGGGAUAACUACUGGAAACGGUGGCUAAUACCGCAUCCCAUCGGAUGAACCCAUAUGGGAUUAGCUUGUAGGUGGGGUAAAGGCUCACCUAGGCGACGAUCCCUAGCUGGUCUGAGAGGAUGAGCAGCCACACGGGGACUGAGACACGGCCCAGACUCCGACGGGAGGCAGCAGUGGGGAAUAUUGCACAAUGGGCGCAAGCCUGAUGCAGCCAUGCCGCGUGUAUGAAGAAGGCCUUCGGGUUGUAAAGUACUUUCAGCGGGGAGGCGUUACCCGCAGAAGAAGCCCCGGCUAACUCCGUGCCAGCAGCCGCGGUAAUUC